rnacentral:tRNA from 1 species
GCCUCGUUAAGUCAAUGGUUAGACUAGGAGACUUUUAAUCUCAAGAUGAGCGUUCGACUCGCUCACGAGGCA